rnacentral:tRNA from 1 species
GGCAAGAUGGCCGAGUGGUUAAGGCGUGCGGUUCAGGCGAUUAACCCGAAUCUCAUUACUCAGCAGAGUUUCCGCAUCUCGAAAGGGGCGUGGGUUCGAAUCCCACUCUUGUCA